rnacentral:misc_RNA from 1 species
UUAAGUUCAGCGGGUAUUCCUACCUGAUCCGAGGUCAACCUGGAGAAGUUGGGGGUUUUACGGCCGGUCACCCGUCGCGUGCCCUGAGCGUGGUAUGUUUACUGCACUCGGUACGACGACGAGCCCGCCACUGGGUUUGGGAGCUGCGGCAGCCGCAGGGCUCCAACACAAGCGCUGGCGCUUGAUGGUUGAAAUGACGC